AGGUGUGUUCAAUCGUGAGCAGGUGUGUUCAAUUGAGAGCAGCAGCACAGCAGAGCAGCAGCACAGCUCAGCAGAGCAGAGCAGGCCAGGCUUGGCCAAGGCCUUUCCACCAUCAGCCUGCUCCAACAGCACAGCAGAGCAGCAGCACAGCAGGCCAGGCUAAGCUAAGGCCCCUCUACCAUCAGCUAGAUCCAACAGGCCAGGUAAGGCUAAGGCCUUCCACCACCAGCCUGCUCCAGCAGGCCAGGCUAAGGCCCUUCCACCACCCAGGCUAGGACAAGGCCCUUCCACCACCACCAGCCAGCUCCAGCAGGCUAGGACAAGGCCUAUCCACCACCAGCCAGCUCCAGCAGGCUAGGACAAGGCCCAUCCACCACUACCAGCCAGCUCCAGCAGGCUAGGACAAGGCCCAUCCACCACCACCAGCCAGCUCCAGCAGGCUAGGACAAGGCCCAUCCACCACCAGCCAGCUCCAGUAGGCUAGGACAAGGCCCAUCCACCACCACCAGCCAGCUCCAGCAGGCUAGGACAAGGCCCAUCCACCACCACCAGCCAGCUCCAGCAGGCUAGGACAAGGCCCAUCCACCACCAGCCAGCUCUAGCAGGCUAGGACAUGGCCCAUCCACCACCACCAGCCAGCUCCAGCAGGCUAGGACAAGGCCCAUCCACCACCAGCCAGCUCCAGCAGGCAGCAACAAACAGGCUUCACUAGGUCAGUGUUGCAAGUGUGUUUAUUGCGGCAAUAUGGGCACUAAAGAGAUUAAGAAGGACAUAGAGGAAUUAAAAGCUUCCUUGAACUUAAUGGGGGACGAAUUGGCAACCAUAAACAAACAGCAGCGUACUAUAAUUAAUCUGAUGAGUGAAAUCAAGGACCUUAAGAUGGUAAAUGAGGACCAGCAGAACAAGAUAAACUACUUGGAAACGCGUGUAUCUGACUUAGAGCAGUAUACGCGCAUGAAUGACGUAAUUAUAACUGGACUAGUGAUCAAGCCACGGUCUUAUGCUCGGGCCCUGAAUGGGGAUGCGAGUGUGGUGGAUAGUGCUGGCCAUGAUGAUUCAGCUGAGGCUCAGGUAACAGCCUUCCUCCAUGACAAACAGAUAGCUAUCGACAGACGCAACAUUGAAGCUUGCCACAUCAUCCCAACAAAAAACCAAAAAGACAAACAUGUUGUCAUUGCUCGCUUUGCAAACCGAAAGCACAAAAUUGACCUGCUCAGGCAGGGCCGCCGAUUGAAGGGCACAAAUGUCUAUAUAAAUGAGCAUCUCACAAAAAAGAAUGCAGAUAUUGCAAGACAAGCAAGGGUCAUGAAGAAGCAGGGAAAAAUUCAGGCCACUUGGACCUCUAACUGUAAAGUGUUUGUUAAAUUGAAUGGCAUACCUGAACAGGCUAAAGUUCUGUGCAUCUGGAGCAUUGAUCAACUAGAA
ensembl:lncRNA